rnacentral:rRNA from 1 species
CCUCGCGCUAUCGGAGCGGCCGAUGUCGGAUUAGCUAGUUGGCGGGGUAACGGCCCACCAAGGCGACGAUCCGUAGCUGGUCUGAGAGGAUGAUCAGCCACACUGGAACUGAGACACGGUCCAGACUCCUACGGGAGGCAGCAGUGGGGAAUUUUGGACAAUGGGCGCAAGCCUGAUCCAGCCAUGCCGCGUGAGUGAAGAAGGCCUUCGGGUUGUAAAGCUCUUUCGGCGGGGACGAAACGGUCCGUGACAACACCACGGACUAAUGACGGUACUCGCAGAAGAAGCACCGGCUAACUACGUGCCAGCAGCCGCGGUAAUACGUAGGGUGCGGGCGUUAAUCGGAAUUACUGGGCGUAAAGCGUGCGCAGGCGGCUCCUUAAGUCAGAUGUGAAAGCCCCGGGCUUAACCUGGGAACUGCGUUUGAAACUGGGGAGCUAGAGUG